CCGACGCCCGCGCGGCGCGCCAGGGUUGGAGUGCUGCGCGGCUUAGAGGUGGCUGGGAGGCGGGGGCAGGCCUGAGACCCCUGCGGGGAUGCGUCGCGGUCCGCGAGUACCAGGAUGCAGCGGCGACCGAACGGGAGGCCUCCCUGUCAUCCUGUGCUCACACCUUUGUGAAGGAGUCAGACUGUGAACACGGCCUCAAGAAAUGAGACAGGACGCUUCCAAAGAGCGCUAGUAGCGGAAAGGGGAAAUUUAGAAAGAGGAACGAGCCAAAGCGUGGGGACAGGGGAGGUGGGCGAUCCCGGAGGGCUUCUCUACGGAGAUGACCUUAGAGACCUGGAUGGAAAGAGGGAAACGGCCCGGGAAGAUCCGCAGGAAGAGUGCUCCAAAAGGAACCUCCUGGCUGGAGGGGUUGACUGGAGCAAGAAGGUGUGUGAGAAUCUUACGUUAGAGAGAAGAUUGAAGAGGUGAAUGGAGGGUCUUACAGGCCAUGUGCUGACUGAGACAACUGAUUGAUCCACUCAUGUCUAGAUCCACAUUUGAAAACACUGAAUUGAGGCCUCACUGGGAAAUGGAGCCAGAAUUCCAGCCUAGUUCUGUGUGACCCACAACCCUUACUUGGUCUUCCUACUACAUUGUCUCUCUGGCCCCUGGGAAUUUAUCUUUUGGACUCAGCAGAGGUAGAGAGAUCUUUGGAGAAGGAUGUGCUGCAGCAUUAUUUUUUUACUACAGAAAAAGUGGAAAGCCCCGAAGCCUAGUUAGAGAAGAACAGCUAAGCAAUUCAUGGCCCACCUCACAAAGAACCUCUUGCAGCAGUUGAAAAUGCUAAUUAUAAAGAUGGAAACACAGGAAAGGCCAAUGAUAAUACAUUGUUUAAAAAGCCCCAUGCGAAAUGAUCUUUACACCAUGAUUAAAACUGUCAAAAUACGGCCAUGUGUAGGGACUAUGAGAGUAUGUAAAAAUGAAAAUGCUUACUUGUUUGGUUGGUGGUUGGUUGUUUUUCCCAUGUCCAAAAUUUUACUUUACAGUUGUUAAUUUGCUAUUCUAGUUAAAGAGUCAGUGUGUCUGAAUCCCUCUCCCUGCCCCCCCCCCCAAAAUAAAAGCCUAUCUUAGGUUUGUCUGCCUCUGUAACCUUUGGUGAGGCAUCACAUGCCUGCUUCAUAUACGUGUCAUUCCUUCUCAUAGCACCCUGUAGUUUUUCUUCAUGGCAUUUGAAAUGGAUUAAGUUAUUGAAAUCAUAGCAUGUGUGCUUUACAUUUUCUACCACCAACCACCUCCUUUAAGUGUUUUAAUUCCUUCUUGAGAUUUAGCCUGGUAGUGGAGGACCAAGAAUCAAAAGCCGAAUGUCAGCAGCCCUUCUUGGCUUUUGAAAAACCUAAACUCAUUGAGGGGGAUGAGGGAAGAAGGAAGAAAGUCUGUGAGAAGCUAGGAGCAAUAGUCCCAGGCCGUAUAACAGAAAGGAAUACGUGCCUGCCCUCAGAGAGACUUGACCUCAAAGGACUAAUAAAAAUCAUGAUGUGGGGAGGGCAUGGCUCAGUGGUUAGAGUACAUGCUUAGCAUGCAGGAGGUCCUGGGUUCAAUCCCUAGUACCUCCAUUAAAAUAGUUAAAUAAAUAAACCUAAUUACCUCCACCCAAAAAAAUAAAAAUUAAGAAAUUAAGGAAAAAACAACCUACAAACCUUUAGAAAACAUCAUGAUGGCAAUCUAACUAACACAAAAUACUUAUUAUGAAACAGAUACUUCUAUGGGAUAAAAAUUAAUAUAUAUUUGCAAA